rnacentral:rRNA from 1 species
GACGAACGCUGGCGGCGUGCUUAACACAUGCAAGUCGAGCGGUAAGGCCUCUUCGGGGGUACACGAGCGGCGAACGGGUGAGUAACACGUGGGUGACCUGCCCUCAUCUCUGGGAUAAGCCUGGGAAACUGGGUCUAAUACCGGAUAUGACCUUUCCUCGCAUGGGGUUUGGUGGAAAGUUUUUUCGGCUGGGGAUGGGCCCGCGGCCUAUCAGCUUGUUGGUGGGGUGAUGGCCUACCAAGGCGACGACGGGUAGCCGGCCUGAGAGGGCGACCGGCCACACUGGGACUGAGACAUGGCCCAGGCUCCUACGGGAGGCAGCAGUGGGGAAUAUUGCGCAAUGGGCGGAAGCCUGACGCAGCGACGCCGCGUGGGGGAUGACGGCCUUCGGGUUGUAAACCUCUUUCGACCCCGACGAAUUUGGACGGUAGGGGUAGAAGAAGCACCGGCCAACUACGUG